GACGAACGCUGGCGGCGUGCUUAACACAUGCAAGUGGAGCGACGAACCGGGGCUUGCCCCGGGGCAGAGCCGCGAACGGGUGAGUAACACGUGGGUAACCCACCCGAUGACCGGGACAACCCGAGGAAACUCGGGCUAAUACCGGAUGUGCUCCUUGACCUCGAGGUCAAGGCGUAAAGAUAGCUUCGGCCUUCGCAUCGGGACGGGCCCGCGGCCCAUUAGCUUGUUGGUGGGGUAAAGGCCUACCAAGGAGACGAUGGGUAGCUGGUCUGAGAGGACGAUCAGCCACACUGGGACUGAGACACGGCCCAGACUCCUACGGGAGGCAGCAGUGGGGAAUCUUGCGCAAUGCGCGAAAGCGUGACGCAGCAACGCCGCGUGGGGAAGA
rnacentral:rRNA from 1 species